CCGGGAGGUCGAUCACCGGAGGAUCAGUCACCGGAGGAGAGCUUGGGUCGUGAGCGUUUCGUAUUGAAUCAGUUGUGUUGAAUAUUAUUUUUCUCAAUAUUUGUCCGUGGAAGAAUAAUUUAGCACUGACAGUUUUGCUGUUAGUUAUUUAGUUUGAAUGAGUUUUCGGUUCACAGUAAUUAAGGCUCAUUCUUCGUCACUAACAAACUGGAGAGAUGAUGAUAUACAGCUUUUUUCGGAGUCCUCACCUGGUUUUAUAUUGCUUCUCUUUUCCCCUGGCUGGAUCAUAACCUAAAGACUGGGAAGACGUUGUGCCAUGACUACUUUUAUAUGCGGACGCUGUGAACUGAAACCUGGCUCUGUGGGCAACCAGUAAGUGAAAUACUCUGACCGCUCCCGACAAGAAACCACGUUUAACAGCAAAGAAAAGAAGCAACACGAGUAAAUCUCGGUGUGGCUUUCCACCGCUGGAGACGGCUCCUGAGAGUAAAGAGAUGCGGUUUGAUGCUGAGCUCGCAACUUUCCUGUUAGCCAGGACCAGAAGUCCAGUCUAAUCACCAAUGAUGGACCAGCACCUGCCUUUUCUUCUGCAUCUGGCCUCAUCAAUCAACACCAUUACAUCAACACCUUGAGGUAUUAUCCCUGCACAUGACAGAUGGCUAGACCUGGUUGUCAAGCUUGACAUCUACCACUUCAUGCGGCGACUGGCAUCUGGAUGUACAAAGGAUGCAUAUCCUCUGUACCCUGUCUUUAUGGCCAAACUGUCCAGCUGUAUUUUUGAGUGGGACAGAGGAGAUCUUGCCUUGCUGCAGCAAGCCAAGUGAGAGCAGCUGUGACAGGAAGGUGUCCCUGGCAUCACUGAAAAUCUAGUUGACCCGCAGAUCAUCAAGGAGGAACUGGCCCUGCACUGUAGAAGGCAGACAAGAGGAGAGCAGCAGACCAUUGUCAUGAUUGCACAGCUUCUUAACGAGUUGAUCGGGGUCAAGGGCAGAGAUUUUCUUGGUGUCCCUAUUUUGGACAAGGAGAGGAUGCAGCACAUCUGGCAAGUCCAGCAGAGGCAUGUUAAGUGCAUUCAGGACGAACCAGGUGUGCUCCUCUACAGAGAGACUGGGACUACCACCAAGGCAGGCAUUGUCCUACCGAACUACAGGUGUGCCAGAGGUUCCACAUCUCUUGAGUCUUUUCACUUAUAUGUGAACAGGUUCAUUCCAGGAACAAGUGCCAACAGCUUGAAUUUCCAGCUGUACCUCCUGGAAGGACUCAAUAGAUGGAACCAGGAUGGUGAAGCUGCAUCCCUGGCAGUCAACCCUCCCUCCCUGCUCAGCUACUCAGGAGACCUUGUUCACUGCGUGAACGCACACAGUGUCAGGGUGCUUGGAAGGGAGCUUGUCCCCUCUUUUCAGCCACCUGCUGUUUA